rnacentral:rRNA from 1 species
GGGGAAUAUUGCACAAUGGGCGAAAGCCUGAUGCAGCGACGCCGCGUGAGGGAUGACGGCCUUCGGGUUGUAAACCUCUUUCAGCAGGGAAGAAGGCCUUCGGGUGGACGGUACCUGCAGAAGAAGCGCCGGCUAACUACGUGCCAGCAGCCGCGGUAAUACGUAGGGCGCAAGCGUUGUCCGGAAUUAUUGGGCGUAAAGAGCUCGUAGGCGGUUUGUCGCGUCUGGUGUGAAAUCCCGAGGCUCAACUUCGGGCUUGCAUCGGGUACGGGCAGACUAGAGUACUGUAGGGGAGACUGGAAUUCCUGGUGUAGCGGUGGAAUGCGCAGAUAUCAGGAGGAACACCGAUGGCGAAGGCAGGUCUCUGGGCAGUCACUGACGCUGAGGAGCGAAAGCAUGGGGAGCGAAC